UGGGGAAUUUUGGACAAUGGGCGAAAGCCUGAUCCAGCAAUGCCGCGUGUGUGAAGAAGGCCUUCGGGUUGUAAAGCACUUUUGUCCGGAAAGAAAUCCUUGGCUCUAAUACAGUCGGGGGGAUGACGGUACCGGAAGAAUAAGCACCGGCUAACUACGUGCCAGCAGCCGCGGUAAUACGUAGGGUGCAAGCGUUAAUCGGAAUUACUGGGCGUAAAGCGUGCGCAGGCGGUUUGCUAAGACCGAUGUGAAAUCCCCGGGCUCAACCUGGGAACUGCAUUGGUGACUGGCAGGCUAGAGUAUGGCAGAGGGGGGUAGAAUUCCACGUGUAGCAGUGAAAUGCGUAGAGAUGUGGAGGAAUACCGAUGGCGAAGGCAGCCCCCUGGGGCCAAUACUGACGCUCAUGCACGAAAGCGUGGGGAGCAAACAGGAUUAGAUACCCUGGUAGUCCACGCCCUAAACGAUGUCAACUAGUUGUUGGGGAUUCAUUUCCUUAGUAACGUAGCUAACGCGUGAAGUUGACCGCCUGGGGAGUACGGUCGCAAGAUUAAAACUCAAAUGAAUUGACGGGGUC
rnacentral:rRNA from 1 species